ACUCCUACGGGAGGCAGCAGUGGGGAAUAUUGCACACUGGGCGCAAGCCUGAUGCAGCCAUGCCGCGUGUAUGAAGAAGGCCUUCGGGUUGUAAAGUACUUUCAGCGGGGAGGAAGGUGUUGAGGUUAAUAACCUCAGCAAUUGACGUUACCCGCAGAAGAAGCACCGGCUAACUCCGUGCCAGCAGCCGCGGUAAUACGGAGGGUGCAAGCGUUAAUCGGAAUUACUGGGCGUAAAGCGCACGCAGGCGGUCUGUCAAGUCGGAUGUGAAAUCCCCGGGCUCAACCUGGGAACUGCAUUCGAAACUGGCAGGCUAGAGUCUUGUAGAGGGGGGUAGAAUUCCAGGUGUAGCGGUGAAAUGCGUAGAGAUCUGGAGGAAUACCGGUGGCGAAGGCGGCCCCCUGGACAAAGACUGACGCUCAGGUGCGAAAGCGUGGGGAGCAAACAGGAUUAGAAACCCCUGUAGUCCCAUG
rnacentral:rRNA from 1 species